rnacentral:tRNA from 1 species
GCGCCCGUAGCUCAGUUGGAUAGAGCACCGGCCUUCUAAGCCGGGGGUCCCAGGUUCGAUCCCUGGCGGGCGCGCCA